GACGAACGCUGGCGGCAGGCCUAACACAUGUAAGUCGAACGGACCCUUCGGGGUUAGUGGCGGACGGGUGAGUAACACGUGGGAACGUGCCUUUUGGUUCGGAGUAGCUCCUGGAAACGGGUUGUAAUGCCGAAUGUGCCCUUUGGGGGAAAGAUUUAUCGCCAUUAGAGCGGCCCGCGUCUGAUUAGCUAGUUGGUGAGGUAAAGGCUCACCAAGGCGACGAUCAGUAGCUGGUCUGAGAGGAUGACCAGCCACAUUGGGACUGAGACACGGCCCAAACUCCUACGGGAGGCAGCAGUGGGGAAUCUUGCGCAAUGGGCGAAAGCCUGACGCAGCCAUGCCGCGUGAAUGAUGAAGGUCUUAGGAUUGUAAAAUUCUUUCACCGGGGACGAUAAUGACGGUACCCGGAGAAGAAGCCCCGGCUAACUUCGUGCCAGCAGCCGCGGUAACAC
rnacentral:rRNA from 1 species